UACGUAGGGUGCGAGCGUUGUCCGGAAUUAUUGGGCGUAAAGAGCUCGUAGGCGGUGUGUCGCGUCGGCCGUGAAAACCUGGGGCUCAACUCUGGGCGUGCGGUCGAUACGGGCAUCACUUGAGUUCGGCAGGGGAGACUGGAAUUCCUGGUGUAGCGGUGAAAUGCGCAGAUAUCAGGAGGAACACCGGUGGCGAAGGCGGGUCUCUGGGCCGAUACUGACGCUGAGGAGCGAAAGCAUGGGUAGCGAACCGG
rnacentral:rRNA from 1 species